GCUAAUAGUGUCGGCUUCUCUAUUGAGCCGACAAUUCUUCUUAGAGGGACUGACGACUCUUAGUCGUACGAGAUUGAGCAAUAACAGGUCUGUGAUGCCCUUAGAUGUUCUGGGCCGCACACGCGCUACACUGAAUAGAUCAGCGUGUCCUCCCUUUCCGAGAGGAACGGGUAAACCGCUGAACCCUAUUCGUGGUAGGGAUCGGGGCUUGCAAUUAUUCCCCGUGAACCAGGAAUUCCCAGUAGGCGCAAGUCAUCAGCUUGCGUCGAUUACGUCCCUGCCCUUUGUACACACCGCCCGUCGCUACUACCGAUUGAACGUUUUAGUGAGGUCCUCGGACUGUUUGCCUGGCGGAUUACUCUGCCUGGCUGGCGGGAAGACGACCAAACUGUAGCGUUUAGAGGAAGUAAAAGUCGUAACAAGGU
rnacentral:rRNA from 1 species